GGUGAACGCUGGCGGCGUGCCUAAUACAUGCAAGUCGAGCGAACAGACGAGGAGCUUGCUCCUCUGACGUUAGCGGCGGACGUGUGAGUAACACGUGGAUAACCUACCUAUAAGACUGGGAUAACUUCGGGAAACCGGAGCUAAUACCGGAUAAUAUAUCGAACCGCAUGGUUCAAUAGUGAAAGACGGUUUUGCUGUCACUUAUAGAUGGAUCCGCGCCGCAUUAGCUAGUUGGUAAGGUAACGGCUUACCAAGGCGACGAUGCGUAGCCGACCUGAGAGGGUGAUCGGCCACACUGGAACUGAGACACGGUCCAGACUCCUACGGGAGGCAGCAGUAGGGAAUCUUCCGCACUGGGCGAAAGCCUGACGGAGCAACGCCGCGUGAGUGAUGAAGGUCUUCGGAUCGUAAAACUCUGUUAUUAGGGAAGAACAAAUGUGUAAGUAACUAUGCACGUCUUGACGGUACCUAAUCAGAAAGCAACGGCUAACUACGUG
rnacentral:rRNA from 1 species